rnacentral:ncRNA from 1 species
CCGUCACAACGGCUUCCUGGCGUGACGGAUGUAUCCAAUGGAGCG